CUUGGUCAUUUAGAGGAAGUAAAAGUCAUAACAAGGUUUCCGUAGGUGAACCUGCAGAAGGAUCAUUAUUGAAUUAGCAAGGGCUGUCUGCUGGCCCCUUUGAGGGCAUGUGCACAUCCAAGCCAUUUAAAUCAACACCUGUGAACUCACCAUAGGCCUUCAUGCUUAUGUAUCAUAUAUAUACUCAAAUCAUAGAAUGUAUGUUUUGCCUUUGAAAAAGCAAUCAAAUACAACUCUCAACAACAGAUCUCUUGGCUCUUGCAUCAAUGAAGAACACAAUGAAAUGCAAUAAGUAAUGUGAAUUGCAGAUUUUCAGUGAAUCAUCAAAUCUUUGAAUGCACCUUGCACUCCUUGGUAUUCUGAGGAGCAUGCCUGUUUGAGUGUCAUUAAAUCCUCAACCCUGUCUGUUGGUCAGGGCUUGGACUUUGGAGUGUGCUGGCGAAGGUCAGCUCCUCUUUAAAUGCAUCAGCAGAGAAAAACAAACCUUUUUCCCCCUUCAGCGUGAUAACUGUGUUGCGCUGUGGUUGCGAAAGGAUCUGCUCAUAAUCAUCCUUGGACAAACACCGAAUCUGUUUUGACCUCAGAUCAGGUAGGACUACCUGCUGAACUUAAGCAUAUCAAUAAGCGGAGGA
rnacentral:rRNA from 1 species